rnacentral:tRNA from 1 species
UCCCCAGUGGCUCAGCUGGUAAAGAAUCUGCCUGCAGUGCGGGAGACCUGGGUUCGAUCCCUGGUUUGGGAA